rnacentral:rRNA from 1 species
AGGGCACCACCAGGAGUGGAGCCUGCGGCUUAAUUUGACUCAACACGGGAAAACUCACCCGGCCCGGACACUGGAAGGAUUGACAGAUUGAGAGCUCUUUCUUGAUUCAGUGGGUGGUGGUGCAUGGCCGUUCUUAGUUGGUGGAGCGAUUUGUCUGGUUAAUUCCGAUAACGAACGAGACUCUAGCCUACUAAAUAGAUCGUCGGCUUACAAACGCUGAUGAGACUUCUUAGAGGGACAGGCGGCGAUUCAGCCGCACGAAACAGAGCAAUAACAGGUCUGUGAUGCCCUUAGAUGUCCGGGGCCGCACGCGCGCUACACUGAAGUGAUCAGCACGCUAGCAAGCCCGCUCCGAGAGGAGCGGGUAACCGUUUGAACCCCCUUCAUGAUAGGGAUUGAGCUUUGUAACUAUUGCUCAUGAACGAGGAAUUCCCAGUAGGCGUGAGUCAUUACCUUACGCCGAUUACGUCCCUGCCCUUUGUACACACCGCCCGUCGCUACUACCGAUUGAAUGGCAGA